rnacentral:sRNA from 1 species
AUGUCUGAUUAUUAUGUUUGGUAUAAGCAUGGAGAAGAAUUGAAUAUGGAUAUCGGAACUAGUUACACGGAUAUGACGUAUUUUAGUGAGAAUCAUGAAGAAGUGGGUAAUGUUGUAGAAGAA